UAUUAUAGGUGGAGCAACAUGAGUGCGUGAAGUGGGUCAGGAGAGGAAUCUAGCAGCCCUAAGCGAUUUCUUGUGUGUGCUCUUUUUUGUAACUAGU
rfam:Streptococcus urinalis 2285-97 final_molecule, whole genome shotgun sequence.